GGGGAGAUAGCACCUUAAGUGCAUCUUACUUACAAUAAGAAGGGGAUAAUAUCUCUCCUCA
rnacentral:tRNA from 1 species